CGGCGGUGUGCCUAAUACAUGCAAGUCGUACGCACUGGCCCAACUGAUUGAUGGUGCUUGCACCUGAUUGACGAUGGAUCACCAGUGAGUGGCGGACGGGUGAGUAACACGUAGGUAACCUGCCCCGGAGCGGGGGAUAACAUUUGGAAACAGAUGCUAAUACCGCAUAACAACAAAAGCCACAUGGCUUUUGUUUGAAAGAUGGCUUUGGCUAUCACUCUGGGAUGGACCUGCGGUGCAUUAGCUAGUUGGUAAGGUAACGGCUUACCAAGGCGAUGAUGCAUAGCCGAGUUGAGAGACUGAUCGGCCACAAUGGAACUGAGACACGGUCCAUACUCCUACGGGAGGCAGCAGUAGGGAAUCUUCCACAAUGGGCGCAAGCCUGAUGGAGCAACACCGCGUGAGUGAAGAAGGGUUUCGGCUCGUAAAGCUCUGUUGUUGGAGAAGAACGUGCGUGAGAGUAACUGUUCACGCAGUGACGGUAUCCAACCAGAAAGUCACGGCUAACUACGUGCCAGCAGCCGCGGUAAUACGUAGGUGGCAAGCGUUAUCCGGAUUUAUUGGGCGUAAAGCGAGCGCAGGCGGUUGCUUAGGUCUGAUGUGAAAGCCUUCGGCUUAACCGAAGAAGUGCAUCGGAAACCGGGCGACUUGAGUGCAGAAGAGGACAGUGGAACUCCAUGUGUAGCGGUGGAAUGCGUAGAUAUAUGGAAGAACACCAGUGGCGAAGGCGGCUGUCUGGUCUGCAACUGACGCUGAGGCUCGAAAGCAUGGGUAGCGAACAGGAUUAGAUACCCUGGUAGUCCAUGCCGUAAACGAUGAGUGCUAGGUGUUGGAGGGUUUCCGCCCUUCAGUGCCGGAGCUAACGCAUUAAGCACUCCGCCUGGGGAGUACGACCGCAAGGUUGAAACUCAAAGGAAUUGACGGGGGCCCGCACAAGCGGUGGAGCAUGUGGUUUAAUUCGAAGCUACGCGAAGAACCUUACCAGGUCUUGACAUCUUGCGCUAACCUUAGAGAUAAGGCGUUCCCUUCGGGGACGCAAUGACAGGUGGUGCAUGGUCGUCGUCAGCUCGUGUCGUGAGAUGUUGGGUUAAGUCCCGCAACGAGCGCAACCCUUGUUACUAGUUGCCAGCAUUAAGUUGGGCACUCUAGUGAGACUGCCGGUGACAAACCGGAGGAAGGUGGGGACGACGUCAGAUCAUCAUGCCCCUUAUGACCUGGGCUACACACGUGCUACAAUGGACGGUACAACGAGUCGCAAACUCGCGAGAGUAAGCUAAUCUCUUAAAGCCGUUCUCAGUUCGGACUGUAGGCUGCAACUCGCCUACACGAAGUCGGAAUCGCUAGUAAUCGCGGAUCAGCAUGCCGGGUGGAAUACCUUUCCCGGGCCUUGUACACACCGCCCGUCACACCAUGGGGAGUUUGUAACGCCCAAAGUCGGUGGCCUAACCUUUAUGGAGGGAGCCGCCUAAGGCGGGACAGAUGACUGGGGUGAAGUCG
rnacentral:rRNA from 1 species